UCUUCCAGGUCAGGUGGCAAAAGUUUAAUGAGGAAUUUAAUUGCUUAAUGAAUCAAAUAGGUCGUGUUUUUGCUCCAAGGGUUGAGGUAACAUUGGUUCAGAUGAAAUAUUAGAGUUUGGGUUAGAGAGUUUUACCUUCGAGGAAUAAGACGUGCUUUAGAAAUCAUUUCCAGGUCCCCCAAAUACUUUAUUGUGCUUACCUUCAUACCCUUACUAAUUACUCUGCAUAAAAUCCACCAACCUUAGAGCUAGAUUUCAUUUUAGAAAUAUUUUGUUAUCUAAUUUUACCCAAAUGGCAUACACUAGGGCAGCCAUAACAAAGUACCACAAACACGGGGUCUUAAAAAACAGAAAUUUAUUCUCUCAAAGUUCUGGCUAGAAGUCUGAAGUCAAGGUGUCAGUAGGUCCACGCUGUCUCUGAAGGCUCAAGGUGGGAGUCCGUUCCACGCCUUUCUCUUAGCUUUUGGUGUUGCCAGCAAUCCUUGAUGUUACUUGGCUUAUAGACACAGCUCUCCAAUCUCUGCUUCCAUUGUCACAUGACAUUCUCCUGGUGUGUGCCCUUGUGUAUCUCUUCCUCUUCUUAUAAUGACACCAGUCAUAUUGGAUUAAGGGCCCAUCCUACUCUAGUAUGACCUGAUCUUAACUAAUUAUAUCUGCAAAGACCCUAUUUCCAAAUAAGAUCACAUUCGUAGAUACCAGGGUUAGGGCUUGAGCAUCUCUUUUUGGGGAACACAAUUCUACCCACUGCAGCAUGUACCCCUACUGCUUCUAUGAAUACAGAACUCUACAGGCUGUCAUUAAUUGCCAAAGCUUUCUGUGAGGCUCUUUUUGUUAGGUAAAAGUAGGAUGCAGAUGCAGGGUACAGUCACAUACACACACCAUUACUGACCUCAGAAGGCUUACAGUCUCAUAAAAAAACUGAUCGUAAAUCAACCUGUAGCUAUUCAUUAGAAAAAGUCCUUUAGGGCUUAGUCCAUUUGGACUGUUAUAACAAAAUACCUUAGAUAGGUAACUUAUAAACAACAGAAAUUCAUUGUUCACAGUUCUGGAGGCUGGGAAGCCCAAGAUCAAGGCAGCAGCAUUGAUGUCUGGUGAGGGCCUGCUUCCUCAUAGAUGGCACUUUCUAUGAGUCUUCACAUGGCAGAAGGGGCUAAUAAGCUUCUUCAGGCCUCUUUUAUUAUAUAAAAGCACUAAUCCCAUUCAUGAGGGCUUUACCCUCAAGACCUAAUUAUUUCCUAAAGGUCCCGCCUCUUAAUCCUAUUGCAUUGGGGAUUAGGUUUCAAUAUAUGAAUUUUGGGGAGAUGCAAACUUUCAGACCAUAGCGUGUAGUGAUGGGAAGAAGACAUGGUUUACAUAAUAUGGAUGGGGGGCCUCUCUGAGGAUAUGACAUUAAACUGAGACUUGAAGGAUGGCAGUGAAUCAGCCAUGGGAAAGAUAAGGAGAAUGUUCCAGGUAGAGUUAACAGCAAAUACUAAGGCCCCAAGGCAGGAAAGAGCUUACCACUUUCCAGGGACUAAAGGAGCAAAGAGGGGGAGAUGACAGAAGAUGAGAUUAAAGAUGUAGGCAGGGGCCACAUCUUUACUCUUUAAUUGCCUAAUGGGCAAUGAAUAGCUUCCAAACUUUUUUGCUGCAACCCUACAGCUAAGAAAUACCUUUGACACACUACCUGGUCCAUAGACGCAUAUAUACACAACUGGACAGUAGAUGGGAAGAUAGUGAGUCGUCGUUAGAUUUUUUGGUUGCCUUUUGGAGGUAGCAUCUCCGGAUCUCAAGGAUUGUGCAUGGGAAGGUGAAAGGAUUCCAGAUGAUGCUCAGCAACUGGGCUUGAGUAGUUGUGUUGAAGGUGGUGCCAAUAAAUGACAUGACAGCCUGGAGGAGGAAAAGGAUUUUGUUGGGGAGGGUGUGGCUGAAAAUAAACAGUUCCGUAUUUGACAUACUAUGUUUUAAGAUACCUGGAUAGUAGUAGGAAAGCAAACUAACUGGCUGUUUUCUUCUACUAUACUCUCAACACUCAACACAGCAAACUUCACAUUAGGUCACAAAAAUGUGUCAGGGGAUUUCCGCAACAACACGUGAGACGUCCUCACACGUGAGACGUCCUCGCCACUCUCUCUCCUCCUGCUGCAGUUCAGGUCCUCAUCAGUUCUCAUUCCGAUUCUUCCUGGAGCCUCCUUUCUCCCUCCCUAUGUCUAACC
rnacentral:lncRNA from 1 species